rnacentral:lncRNA from 1 species
UCCAGAGUUCGUACAGGAGUUGCUGCGAUGGGACAAAGAUUAACUACCAAAUGGAUAUCACGAUAUUGGGGAGGAAAAAGGGGGUAAAAAAAAAAGAAAUAUGGAGUUGCAGUAGUUUGUUGACUUGAUUCAUGACUGCUAGCUAAGAUUUUGAAAAUAUAUGAUCAGUCCAAUCAAAGCUACUGUACAUAUAACGUGAUUGAACAUUUUAUCUGUGGCCAACGACCUCGAGCCUUCUUGGAUGGGCACUUCUAAUGUACUCUAUGGCAGCACCCAAGGGUCUAGAAUUUUCUAGCUCUACCCUUAGACUUGAUGGUGACGUAGGGUCCCCAUGAGUGACAGAACACUGAGCCAAGCACGGCGCAACGCUUGUCCUACCACCACAGAAAGCACUGAGCUAGGCUGAAACACCUGAAUUUUGGAGUAGCCUUACUCAAGAAAACAAAAAAAGAGACCAUGUUUUUAUGCGGCUUUAUUAACACGAUAUAUUUUUUACAUUGUUUGCAAACUGAUAUGUGACACGUAUUAAUGCCAAAAUAAUAUGCAAAAGAGGCUAACUCAAAAAAUAUAUAAUUUGUGGGGUUCGAAUGACGGGUCCCCACUGCGUUCUAUGUUCUCACGUUGGGUUUUCUAAAACGCUAAACGGAUGUUGCUCAUCUGUGAUGCAACAUCUCCAAUGUGUUGGCUACGUGGGUUGAUCUCAAACACGUGUCAUUCAAUCUUUGGUUAAUUUGUGCGGUGUGCAGAAAAAGAUUACCUAAAGGUUCUACAGUUAUAGGUGCAGUAAUCUUGAUAAUAAUUUGUGAAGAACAAUCACAUUCGGAGGGGGGACUAAACCAUUUAACAGGGCACAGCUCCAUGAUCGGUUCGCUUCUGCAGAGCAAAGGAAGUUGUGUAUGAAGUGUCACAUACCCAGAGGCCCAUGGUGGACGGACAUCUAAUCAGCCCCUAGAAACGUUAUUUAGAAAAUCAGACAAAGAAAGGAAGGCCAAAUCAAAGGAAAGGACCAUUUCAAAAUGAUAAAGAACCAUGUUGAGCAAUGCAUGUUAUGUUGAUUGUAUUUAUUGUACAUUGCAUGUUUUCACAGGACUCCCGUGGAAUUGAAAAAUGUGACACUUCAGAAAGCCAAGAACGGAAAUGGCAAGACUGAGAUCAAGUUUACAGACAAGUCCACAUUUUCUGUCAUCAAACAUUUACCCUACACAGUCAACGAGGAUCCCUGGCUGACCUUCAAGAAACCAAGGGAAAGAAGGUGAUGAACGUUUCAAUUUAACAAUGCAACAUGAUCAUUUGACAAUUGAUAGUUCAGAACAAUGAGAUACUUAAUAUACUUGAGGCUUUAGAAUAUGUGUAUGAUACCCACUGUGACUGAAAGUAAAUGUUACUGGUUUAUCGCCCAUGUCUGUAUUUUCUCUCUCCUUUUGGGUAAGAGUAUUUGUAUUUUUUCUCCUUUAUAGGUGAACGUUACUGUUCUUGUGAUCCGGAAGCUGAAUGAGAGCCAAGGUA